AGUUUGAUCCUGGCUCAGAUUGAACGCUGGCGGAAUGCUUUACACAUGCAAGUCGAACGGCAGCACGGGAGCUUGCUCCUGGUGGCGAGUGGCGAACGGGUGAGUAAUGCAUCGGAACGUACCUAUUAGUGGGGAUAACUAUCCGAAAGGAUAGCUAAUACCGCAUACGUCCUGAGGGAGAAAGCAGGGGAUCGCAAGACCUUGCGCUAAUAGAGCGGCCGAUGUUCGAUUAGCUAGUUGGUGGGGUAAAGGCUCACCAAGGCGACGAUCGAUAGCUGGUCUGAGAGGAUGAUCAGCCACACUGGAACUGAGACACGGUCCAGACUCCUACGGGAGGCAGCAGUGGGGAAUUUUGGACAAUGGGGGCAACCCUGAUCCAGCCAUUCCGCGUGAGUGAAGAAGGCCUUCGGGUUGUAAAGCUCUUUCGGCAGGAACGAAACGGUCGUUGCUAAUACCAGCGGCUAAUGACGGUACCUGAAGAAGAAGCACCGGCUAACUACGUG
rnacentral:rRNA from 1 species